UACGUAGGGUGCGAGCGUUAAUCGGAAUUACUGGGCGUAAAGCGUGCGCAGGCGGUCUGUUAAGACCGAUGUGAAAUCCCCGGGCUUAACCUGGGAACUGCAUUGGUGACUGGCAGGCUUUGAGUGUGGCAGAGGGAGGUAGAAUUCCACGUGUAGCAGUGAAAUGCGUAGAGAUGUGGAGGAAUACCGAUGGCGAAGGCAGCCUCCUGGGCCAAUACUGACGCUCAUGCACGAAAGCGUGGGGAGCAAACAGG
rnacentral:rRNA from 1 species